CGGGUGAGUAAUGCGUGACCAACCUGCCCCAUGCUCCAGAAUAGCUCUUGGAAACGGGUGGUAAUGCUGGAUGCUCCAACUUGACGCAUGUCUUGUUGGGAAAGUGUUUAGUGGCAUGGGAUGGGGUCGCGUCCUAUCAGCUUGUAGGCGGGGUAAUGGCCCACCUAGGCUUCGACGGGUAGCCGGCCUGAGAGGGCGGACGGCCACAUUGGGACUGAGAUACGGCCCAGAAUCCUACGGGAGGCAGCAGCU
rnacentral:rRNA from 1 species